GGUUUUUCAGAAGCUUUUAUAUUUGAGCGAGAAACGGAAUCUCCCUAUUCCUGUCCAGCAACAGUCAAACAAACACUGCAGAAGAAAAGGCAACAGGCUACUCCAGUUAACGCAAAAGUACAGCAUUACAGCUAUCUCAGAAACUGCUCUUCCAUGCCAAGUACAACAGUACAAUGCUAUACUUCCAGGAAACAUCUUCCAUACAACCAGUGGCGCAAAACAACAUCCAGAACCUGUACCCGCUGCACCAAAGACUUCCAUCCACUUUCCACUUUGAAUACAUACCGCAGCUUGCUCUGGCAGCAUGAAACCUCAUCCUACAGCUUCUCGGUCUCGCUCGUUUCUGCAGAGGAACGAAGGAGAGUUUAGCUAGCGAAAGAUUAGAAAGAAAAAAAAUGCAAACUUCUGGUCAUAAGGCAGUUGAUUCCAGAAAGAGGCUGCUACACUGAUUUGAUGCUCUUAUCCAUGCCAAUGAGUCCAGCAAGUUAAGAAAUAAUCAACGCUCUUAUCCAGAUGACUUAUCCUUGAAAACAAAACGAUUUGACAGGCUUUUUUUUUCGAAACGAAGAUUUGACAGGUAUUUUGGACACCCAUGAUUUUACUGCGACUGCUAUGACCAGGUUAUUAACAUAUGCUAGGCAAUCACUACCUGUGGUGCAGUGGCAGAGCUACAGUAGCAAACCUGGGCGGGCCGGUACGAAGGAAGACCGAUUAUUUUUCAUCCUCAUGGCUGAGUUUACUCUUAAUAUCCACUAUAAUUGCUAUGAACUGGG
rnacentral:lncRNA from 1 species